UACAGAGGUCUCAAGCGUUGUUCGGAUUCAUUGGGCGUAAAGGGUGCGUAGGUGGCGCCGUAAGUCGGGUGUGAAAUUUCGGAGCUUAACUCCGAAACUGCAUUCGAUACUGCGGUGCUUGAGGACUGGAGAGGAGACUGGAAUUCAUGGUGUAGCAGUGAAAUGCGUAGAGAUCAUGAGGAAGACCAGUGGCGAAGGCAGGUUACUACUAAUGGAUUGACGCUGAUGGACGAAAGCGUGGGUAGCGAACAGG
rnacentral:rRNA from 1 species